ensembl:snRNA U6 U6 spliceosomal RNA
UUGUUUCCACGGCAAAUAUACUAAAAUUGGAACCAGACGGAGAUUAGCAUAGCCUAUACCAAGGAUGACACAUAAAUUUGUAAAGUGUUCUUUGUUUUU